UACGGGGGGAGCAAGCGUUGUUCGGAUUUACUGGGCGUAAAGGGCGGGUAGGCGGCCACCGCAAGUCGACUGUGAAAUCUCCGGGCUUAACCCGGAAAGGUCAGCCGAUACUGCGGGGCUAGAGUGCAGAAGGGGCAACUGGAAUUCUCGGUGUAGCGGUGAAAUGCGUAGAUAUCGAGAGGAACACCUGCGGCGAAGGCGGGUAGCUGGGCCGACACUGACGCUGAUGCGCGAAAGCCAGGGGAGCGAACGGG
rnacentral:rRNA from 1 species